AUUGAACGCUGGCGGCAGGCCUAACACAUGCAAGUCGAGCGGAUGAAGGGAGCUUGCUCCUGGAUUCAGCGGCGGACGGGUGAGUAAUGCCUAGGAAUCUGCCUGGUAGUGGGGGAUAACGUCCAGAAACGGGCGCUAAUACCGCAUACGUCCUGAGGGAGAAAGUGGGGGAUCUUCGGACCUCACGCUAUCAGAUGAGCCUAGGUCGGAUUAGCUAGUUGGUGGGGUAAAGGCCUACCAAGGCGACGAUCCGUAACUGGUCUGAGAGGAUGAUCAGUCACACGGGAACUGAGACACGGUCCAGACUCCUACGGGAGGCAGCAGUGGGGAAUAUUGGACAAUGGGCGAAAGCCUGAUCCAGCCAUGCCGCGUGUGUGAAGAAGGUCUUCGGAUUGUAAAGCACUUUAAGUUGGGAGGAAGGGCAGUAAGUUAAUACCUUGCUGUUUUGACGUUACCAACAGAAUAAGCACCGGCUAACUUCGUG
rnacentral:rRNA from 1 species